rnacentral:rRNA from 1 species
UACGUAGGGUGCGAGCGUUAAUCGGAAUUACUGGGCGUAAAGCGUGCGCAGGCGGUGAGCUGUGUCCGAUGUGAAAGCCCCGGGCUUAACCUGGGAAUGGCAUUGGAAACUGGCUCGCUGGAGUGUGGCAGGAGGGGGUGGAAUUCCGCGGUGUAGCAGUGAAAUGCGUAGAGAUGCGGAGGAACACCGAUGGCGAAGGCAGCCCCCUGGGCUAACACUGACGCUCAGGCACGAAAGCGUGGGGAGCGAACAGGA